GACGAACGCUGGCGGCGUGCUUAACACAUGCAAGUCGAGCGGUAAGGCCCUUUCGGGGGUACACGAGCGGCGAACGGGUGAGUAACACGUGGGUGACCUGCCCUUAGCUCUGGGAUAAGCCUGGGAAACUGGGUCUAAUACCGGAUAUGACUCCAUGACGCAUGUUGUGGGGUGGAAAGCCUUGUGCGGCUAGGGAUGGGCCCGCGGCCUAUCAGCUUGUUGGUGGGGUGAUGGCCUACCAAGGCGACGACGGGUAGCCGGCCUGAGAGGGCGACCGGCCACACUGGGACUGAGACACGGCCCA
rnacentral:rRNA from 1 species